CGGACGGGUGAGUAAUGUCUGGGAAACUGCCUGAUGGAGGGGGAUAACUACUGGAAACGGUAGCUAAUACCGCAUAACGUCGCAAGACCAAAGUGGGGGACCUUCGGGCCUCAUGCCAUCAGAUGUGCCCAGAUGGGAUUAGCUAGUAGGUGGGGUAAUGGCUCACCUAGGCGACGAUCCCUAGCUGGUCUGAGAGGAUGACCAGCCACACUGGAACUGAGACACGGUCCAGACUCCUACGGGAGGCAGCAGUGGGGAAUAUUGCACAAUGGGCGCAAGCCUGAUGCAGCCAUGCCGCGUGUAUGAAGAAGGCCUUCGGGUUGUAAAGU
rnacentral:rRNA from 1 species